GUGGAGACUGGAUGUGUCAGCGGAGGAGAGUCUAACACUAAGUUAAUACAGGUUUAUGCAGAUAUUAAAAGCUGAUUGCCACAGCGGGCCUCCGUGAAGCAGGUAGAAUAGCUGAGUGUUCCAGCAGUGGGCUACAAUGGAACAUGUUACGUCAAACUUUGAUUGCCGCUCAUGUGGUAUCACUCUGAAAACUGUUAAGAGCUAUGUAGAUCAUCAGAUUUUGCAUAGACAUGAAGCAAACACGUACUACCCAUGUUGCUUCAUAGACUGCAAACAAAAAUUCAUGAAGUACACUGCCUUAAAAUCUCAUGUAUAUCGUUCUCAUAACAGACGUGUUUCACAGGUAGAUGAUUCACAUAGAUCAUUUGUAUGUGAGGAUGUUAAUUGUAAGAAGCAAUGCACAGAUUUACAAGAUCUUCUUGCACACCUUAACCCUCCGGUAUCAUUCGAUUGGACUACGCAAAUUAGUCAUUCGAGACAAAAAUGUCCACUGCAAAAGACUUUGAUAAAAACAUUAUAUAAAAAGGU